rnacentral:rRNA from 1 species
GAAUAUUGGACAAUGGGGGCAACCCUGAUCCAGCGAUGCCGCGUGAGUGAAGAAGGCCCUCGGGUCGUAAAGCUCUUUAGGUUGGGAAGAAGGAUAUUUGUUUAAUAGACAAAUAUUUUGACGGUACCGACAGAAUAAGCACCGGCAAACUCUGUGCCAGCAGCCGCGGUAAUACAGAGGGUGCGAGCGUUAAUCGGAAUUACUGGGUGUAAAGGGCGCGUAGGCGGCAAGAUAUGUGUGAUGUGAAAGCCCCGGGCUUAACCUGGGAAGUGCAUUGCAAACUGUCUGGCUAGAGUAUAUGAGAGGGUGGCGGAAUUUCCGGUGUAGCGGUGAAAUGCGUAGAGAUCGGAAGGAACGUCAAUGGCGAAGGCAGCCACCUGGCAUAAUACUGACGCUGAGGCGCGAAAGCGUGGGGAGCGAAC